CCCGCUAAAUUUAAGCAUAUCAAUAAGCGGUGGAAAAGAAACGAAAACGAAUUCUCCAAGUAGCGGCGAGCGAAACGAGAGCAGUCCAUACACCGAAGUCGGCGAGCAGUUGUGUUCGUCAACAGUGUGGUGUUAAAGGUGUCGUAGCAUGUGCUGAAAUCAGUUCGUAGGCUCCCUUGAUUGGGGCUUCAGAGCGGGUGCAGGACCCAUAACGAACGAUGUUUUGUGCAUGGUGUCGCGGCUCCUAAUCGAGUCGGGUUGCUUGAGACUGCAGCCCAAAGCGGGUGGUAAAUCUCACCCAAGACUAAAUAUUCGUACGAGACCGAUAGCGAACAAGUACCGCGAGGGAAAGUUGAAAAGAACUCUGAAGAGAGAGUUCAACAGGACGUGAAACCGUUGACAGGCAAACGGAUGGAGCUGACGGUGCAAUUUUGACCAAAAUCAGUCGUCGCUGUGUUCGUUGGCGAAUGAAUCUUUUGCAAACCUGUUUGUGUAGAUUAUCUUUCGUUUCGAAUGUACGCACGGUGCACUUUUGGUCGAUCAGCGUCACGAGCAACGUUCGCAUUUUUUGCUGCCGACAGUAAUUGUGUUUGUUGUUUUAAAAGCAACAAACAAUAAAGGCGGUUUGUGGAAGAGGUAAUUGUGGUAAAGACUUGUGCUUUUGUCUCAAUUGCCGUGCCAAUGCCGCAUCUCUCGGAUGAAUGUUGUUGUUGACAAGUUGAAGAGCAUUGUUCUGCGUACAAUUGUAAUGGGUCUGUUGGUGCCGUUGCGUUCGUGGGUUUCGGCUCACGAUUUGUCUGGUACGUCGGGAAAUAAGUCAAUUAUGAAUGUAAUUGAUCUGACUACCGUGCGUAACGGUAUUCAAAUGUGUGUUUGAUGGACUUUAUUUGCAAUCGGCGCUCAAUGUGUUUUCUUUUAUCGGUGGCGUCAAUGUUAGCCUCCCAUCUGACCCGUCUUGAAACACGGACCAAGGAGUUCAGUAGGCACGCGAGUCGUUGACGUUUUUCAUUGAACAGUCGAAGGCGAAAUGAAAGUGUUCAUGAAAAUGAACAGUACUUUUUUAUGGAGUGCUGUUCGCUUUCAACAUGAUCGUCCUUUUUUGUGCUUAAUUGUGCAAAAUUGAUAUAUGGGGACGCGCAGUGUGGUGCCGUUGAAUAGUCGCACUGUUCUUUCUUUCUCUUCGGGGUUGGAGGAACAAUUGUCGAUCAGUCGGUUUCGGAGCGUGCACACUGGUACCCGAAAGAUGGUGAACUAUGCUUGAGCAGAAUGAAGCCAGAGGAAACUCUGGUGGAAGUUCGUAGCGGUGUUGACGUGCAAAUCACUCGUCUGACUUGAGUGUAGGGGCGAAAGACUAAUCGAACCAUCUAGUUGCUGGUUCCUUCCGAAGUUUCCCUCAGGAUAGCUGGCAUUUGUUUGUAACAAUUUUAUCCGGUAGAGCGAAUGAUUAGAGGUGUUGGGAACGCAAUGUUCUCAGCCUAUUCUCAAACUUCGAAUGGGUAAGCAAGGCGUUUUGCUUUGAUUUUACGAUGAAAUCGCCCAAUUAGAAUGCAUAAAUGCCUAGUGGGCCAAUUUUGGUAAGCAGAACUGGCGAUGUGGAAUGAACCAAAAGUCAGGUUAAGGUGCCAGACAUUGGCGCUCAUGAAAUACCAGAAAAGGUGUUGGUCGAUAUAGACAGCAGGACGGUGGCCAUGGAAGUUGGAAUCCGCCAAGGAGUGUGUAACAACUCACCUGCCGAAUCGACUAGCCCUGAAAAUGGAUAGCGUUUGAGCGCCAGGCCCAUACCUGACCGUCUCAAUUACGCACUUUUUUUUCGGAAAAGGUGUAAUGAACGUUGAGACGGGUAGGAAGGUCGCGACAGUGUUGCUUUGAAGAGUUUUGAGCGUGAGCUCGCUCGGAGCCGCUGUUGGUGCAGAUCUUGGUGGUAGUAGCAAAUAUUCAAGUGAGAACCUUGAAGGCUGAAGUGGAGCAAGGUUCCAUGUGAACAGCAGUUGGACAUGGGUCAGUCGAUCCUAAGAAAACGGCGAAAGCUUGUUCGAAUUUGCGACAUGAAUUGUAAGACUGUGUGUUUAUUGUGUGUGUGCAGUUGUCGUAUGUUUUCGAAAGGGAAUCCGGUUGAUAUUCCGGAACCGAGUAACGGAGACAAAGAGUAGCGCUUUAAUCUCUCUGUGGGGUUGGCGUUCAACUCAAUCGCGCGGUAACGCAAGCGAACUCGGAAAAUGACCGUCGUGAGUUUCGAAAAGAGUUUUCUUUUCUUUUUAAGGGACGCAUUCCCUGGAACCGGGUUGUCCGGAGAUAGGGAUUCUGGUAUCCAUAAAACGCCGACUUUUUCACGGUGUUCGGAGCGCUCUCGUCGGUACGUGAAAAUCCGAGCGACGCCUGGUAAAUCUCGUACUUGGUCGUACUGAUAUCCGCAGCAGGUCUCCAAGGUGAAUAGCCUCUGGCC
rnacentral:ncRNA from 1 species